rnacentral:misc_RNA from 1 species
UUGAGAAAUCAAGUAGUUUAAUUUCUAAAAUACAGGAUCUAAUCUAUAUUAGUGAUAAAAUCCACAACUAAAUAAUAAAUUUUCCUAAAAAAAUAUAUAAUCAAAAUUAACAUAUAAUAAUUCAACUCAUCUGUGCUAAGAAUAUAUUCCUGCGUUUACUCGUCAAUCCCCCAGCAUUUUCACUUGCUUAUAAAAAUAUUCUCC